UAACCUGCCCAAGAGAUCGGGAUAACACCUGGAAACAGAUGCUAAUACCGGAUAACAACAGAUGAUGCCUAUCAACUGUUUAAAAGAUGGUUCUGCUAUCACUCUUGGAUGGACCUGCGGUGCAUUAGCUAGUUGGUAGGGUAACGGUCUACCAAGGCGAUGAUGCAUAGCCGAGUUGAGAGACUGAUCGGCCACAUUGGGACUGAGACACGGCCCAAACUCCUACGGGAGGCAGCAGAC
rnacentral:rRNA from 1 species